AUGGCCAUAUCACUUUGAAACACCAGUUUCCGUAUGAUCACCGACGUUAAGCAACAUCGUACCUGGCCAGUACCUAGAUGAGUGAUCGCUUGCGAAUACCAGGUGCUGAAA